rnacentral:rRNA from 1 species
AGAGCUCAGAUUUGGAAUCGUGUUUCGGCACGAGUUGUAAAUUGCAGGUUGGAGUCUUUGUGGAAGCGUGUGUCCAAGUCCCUUGGAACAGGGCGCCAUUGAGGGUGAGAGCCCCGUGGGAUGCGCGCGGAAGCAACAAGGCCCUUCUGACGAGUCGAGUUGUUUGGGAAUGCAGCUCUAAGCGGGUGGUAAAUUCCAUCUAAGGCUAAAUACUGGCGAGAGACCGAUAGCGAACAAGUACUGUGAAGGAAAGAUGAAAAGCACUUUGAAAAGAGAGUGAAACAGCACGUGAAAUUGUUGAAAGGGAAGGGUAUUGGGCCCGACAUGGGGAUUGCGCAUCUCUGCUCCUUGUGGGCGGGGCGCUGUGCUUUUCCUGGGCCAGCAUCGGUUUUUGCCGCAGGAGAAGGGGUACUGGAAUGUGGCUCCUCGGAGUGUUAUAGCCAGUGCCAGAUGCUGCGUGCGGGGACCGAGGGCUGCGACAUCUGUCUCGGAUGCUGGCACAACGGCGCAAUACCGCCCGUC